ACACAUGCAGUCGAGCGGAGAGAGGUGCUUCGCGCACUUGAUCUCUAGCGGCGGACGGGUGAGUAAUGCUUAGGAAUCUGCCAUUUAGUGGGGGACAACAUUCCGAAAGGGAUGCUAAUACCGCAUACGUCCUACGGGAGAAAGCAGGGGAUCUUCGGACCUUGCGCUAAAUGAUGAGCCUAAGUCGGAUUAGCUAGUUGGUGGGGUAAAGGCCUACCAAGGCGACGAUCUGUAGCGGGUCUGAGAGGAUGAUCCGCCACACUGGGACUGAGACACGGCCCAGACUCCUACGGGAGGCAGCAGUGGGGAAUAUUGGACAAUGGGCGGAAGCCUGAUCCAGCCAUGCCGCGUGUGUGAAGAAGGCCUUUUGGUUGUAAAGCACUUUAAGCGAGGAGGAGGCUACCUGGAUUAAUACUCUGGGAUAGUGGACGUUACUCGCAGAAUAAGCACCGGCUAACUCUGUGCCAGCAGCCGCGGUAAUACAGAGGGUGCGAGCGUUAAUCGGAUUUACUGGGCGUAAAGCGUGCGUAGGCGGCUGAUUAAGUCGGAUGUGAAAUCCCUGAGCUUAACUUAGGAAUUGCAUUCGAUACUGGUCAGCUAGAGUAUGGGAGAGGAUGGUAGAAUUCCAGGUGUAGCGGUGAAAUGCGUAGAGAUCUGGAGGAAUACCGAUGGCGAAGGCAGCCAUCUGGCCUAAUACUGACGCUGAGGUACGAAAGCAUGGGGAGCAAACAGGAUUAGAUACCCUGGUAGUCCAUGCCGUAAACGAUGUCUACUAGCCGUUGGGGCCUUUGAGGCUUUAGUGGCGCAGCUAACGCGAUAAGUAGACCGCCUGGGGAGUACGGUCGCAAGACUAAAACUCAAAUGAAUUGACGGGGGCCCGCACAAGCGGUGGAGCAUGUGGUUUAAUUCGAUGCAACGCGAAGAACCUUACCUGGCCUUGACAUACUAGAAACUUUCCAGAGAUGGAUUGGUGCCUUCGGGAAUCUAGAUACAGGUGCUGCAUGGCUGUCGUCAGCUCGUGUCGUGAGAUGUUGGGUUAAGUCCCGCAACGAGCGCAACCCUUUUCCUUACUUGCCAGCAUUUCGGAAGGGAACUUUAAGGGUACUGCCCGUGACAAACUGGAAGAAAGCCGGGAAAA
rnacentral:rRNA from 1 species